GACGAACGCUGGCGGCGGGCUUAACACAUGCAAGUCGAACGGAAAGGCCCUGCGUGUGUGCGGUGCUCGAUUGCCGAACGCGUGCGUAACACGUGAGUAACCUGCUCUUGACUUUCGGAUAACUUCAGGAAGCUGGGCCUACUAUCGGACAGCAGCUCCUGCUGCAUUGUGGGCGUUGGAACGUUUCGGCUGUCGGGGAUGGACUCGCGGCUUAUCAGCUUGUUGGUGGGGUAGUGGCUUACCAAGGCUUUGACGGGUAGCCGGCCUGAGAGGGUGACCGGCCACAUUGGGCCUGAGAUACGGAGCAGACUCCUACGGGAGGCAGCGGUGGCGAAUCUUGCACAAUGGGCCGAAGCGUGAGACAGCAACGCCGCGUGCGGAAUGACGGCCUUCGGGUUGUAAACCGCUUUCGCCUGUGACGAAGCGUGAGUGACGGUAAUGGGUAAAGAAGCACCGGCUAACUACGUG
rnacentral:rRNA from 1 species